CUAAAAAUGGCGGCUUCCACACAAACGCUUCCUGCCUGUAGCGUUUAGCCGGAAGUGACGUAGAUAACAAAACCCCCCUACACAGCAUGGCGGAGAAGAGGAGCUGGGCUGAGCGGUGAUAUCUGGACGCUUCUACCCGGUGUGAUAGCCAGGCAUGUCAAGCAAAAGGGACAAGACAAGGAUCCGGUCUUCAUCGUCCUGUGAAGAUAGAGGAAGAGUAAAGGACAAACGGAAACGCAGCCGGAGCAGAUCAUCUUCUGUGUCGUCUUCAUCCUCCGCUUCAUCUUCCUCCUCCUCACGCUCAUCAUCAUCAUCAUCUUCCAGUAGCAGAAGCAGCUCCAGCAGCCAAGAUUCACAGAAACAGAAGUCAAAAAAGGCAUCUAAGGAAAAACACGACAAAAAGAAAAUUAAAAAGGAAAGCAAGGUAAAGAAGAAGGAGAAGAAAAAGAAGCGAGAGUCCAGCCCUGUACAGAUAUCCAAGUACUUAAAAGAAAAAAAGAAGGGUGAGAACUACAGUAUGAUCACAGGGAAGAAGAUCAAGAUGAAAGUGAAGAAGAGCAAGGAAGACAAAGAGAGGGACAGAAAUCGGGCCGAACUUCUGAAUUUCUUAAACUCUUCGAUGUGACGGAGCCGCCAUUUGUGAUUCAUUCUUUACGUCACGACAGGGGCCCGACUAGAAAAUUCAUCCCGGCAUACACACAGACAGGGUUCACUUACUUAUGCACCUGCCUACUUGUAGUCUGUUUAUUUUCCCCAUUGAACUCUGUCAUCAUCUGCAGAGUAACAUGGUGCUGCGGGGGGUCAUCCUCAGAAGUCUUGCUGGUUUGUCUUUCAGAUUUUGUCUAACAAAACUGACUUCAUUGGUUCAGCCUGAUAUUGAAUUACCCAUUUUUAGGGCAGGGUCACACAGAGUGCAUCCGCAGCAUAUUUCACACUGCGGAUGCGCCGAUGGCAGUUACAAGGGGACUGCAGAACGAGCUCCUGGCUGCAGCGGGGUAGCUCUGUGUGUCUGCUCUUAGUUGCUGUUGUAGAAAUCCACGGAUACGAGCGAAUACACAGAGCUACCCGGCCACAGCCAGGAGCUCGCUCUGCAGUACCUCUGUGACUGCCUUCGGUGUAUCAGCAACAUAAAAUACGCUGCGAAUGCGCCCCAUGUGACCCUGCCCUAAGUGGAUUAAGCCUUUUUGCCACUGUUGUGUUGAUGGAUGCACAUAGUGCUGUUCUUUUUAAUUGGUAUUGUGAUUUUUUUUUUUUGCAUGCGCACCCCUCCCUUUUGGAAGUUUUGUACUACAAUGUAGUUUAUCUGGUUUAGGAACAUUUCCAGGAGAGGCUUGAUCACAAGAAAAACUGCAAUUGUUAAAGGGGAACUGACUGCACCAACCUGAAUAUACAGGUAGAUAGUGUGGGUGACCCUGUUUCUAGCAUUUCUUACCGAAAAUCGGAAAAUCUGUGCAGCCGUUCCGGUGAUAUCCAUCUUGUUGCUAAUAUGGUCGUUUCUUAUUAUGUGGAGGCGACAGCUGCUGCUGGAUGUGCAAAGUUUUCUCCCGCCCACUCCUGUUAGCUCCGCCCCUUCAUAAAUAUUUGUGUUGUGCUGUUGCUCUGUUAUUGCUCCUGGAAAUGUUUGCAUACAUUGCCAUUCAUUCCCUUUGGACUAAGGGUCUUGUCCAUAUGCCCGUGUUUUUUGCGAACCAGCGUGCCUCCUUCUGUUUCAAAACUACAACUUCCAGCAUGCCCGGACAGCCUUUGGCUGUCCGGGCAUGCUGGAAGUCGUAGUUUUGCAACAGCUGGAGGCACACUGGUUGGGAAGCAUUGCUCUAUGCAAUCUGAGACUGCAAGACUGUAUAGUGACCGACCUUAGUGUAAAGGAGAAUAGUGACACAUAGCUGUCAGUUUUAUUUAUUUCCAGGAAUAGCAGGAAUAGAAACAGCAUGCAAAUAUAUUUUAUGGGGAAUAGAACAGCUCCUCUUAAAGGGAACCUGUCCCGUUUAUAAGGCCGUCCAGUCUGCAGGCAUCAUGUUAUAGAUCAGGAGGAGCUGAGCAGAUUGAUAUAUAGUUUUAUGGGGAAAGUUCCAGGAUAACUUGUCAUUUAUUCAUGUAAAUCUCUGCUCAUUCUGGGCUAAGUAGUCAAGUGGGCGGUCCUAGUGACAGCUAUCUGUAUAUAAGUGUGCAUAUAAAGAGCUCUCAAUCAAUGAAUAAGACCGCCCACAUGACUACUUUGCUCAUUCUGGGCUAGUCAGUGAUUGAUAGCUUUUUCUAUAUGCCAACUUAUACACAGAGAGCUGUCAAUCACUGAGUAGGACCGCCCACAUGACUACUUAGCCCAGAAUUAGCAGAAGUUUACGGGACUAAAUAAAAAAGUUAUCCUGGAACUUUGUCCACAAAAUGAUAUAUCAAUCUGCUCAGCUCCUCCUGAUCUAUGACAUGAUGUUCUCAGAUUGGACUGCAUUAUAAAUGUGAGAGAUUUCCUUUAAAGAGAACCUCUCAUCACUUUCAUACUGCCCGAAUCACAAGUCAUUGGGUCGGUCCUUGGAGUGGCUUCUUCCCUCCCGCUGACCUUUUUAUAGAUUUCUCCCUAUACCUUAACAGGCAGAGAUCUAUUAGUCAUGGCUAGUGGGGCCGGAGAAGCCACCGGGGACCGUCCCAAUGGAUGGUGUUUCAGGCAGCAUGAAAGUGAUGACAGGUUCCCCUUAAAUGGUAUGUCUACUUUGGCAACUGGUUUGUUCCCUGCAUCUAAAAUAAAAAAAAUGCAAAUACGGUAGUCCUAAAUAAAAAAUAUUUGACAGUUUUUGAGUAUACAGCUGUUAUGAAAGUAAAGUGUCUUUAUGGAAGCCAAAGGCUAAACAGAUGUGUAAAUUACUUCUAUUAAAAAAAUAUCUUAAUCCUUCCAGUACUUAUCAGCUGCAGGAUGUUCUUUUCUAAUGACAUUUAUUUUCUGUCUGACCACGGUGCUCUCUGCUGACACCUCUGUCCAUGUCAGGAACUGUGCAGAGUAGAAGCAAAUCCCCAUAGCAAACACCUAUUCUUCUCUGGACAGUUCCUGACAUGGACAGAGGUGUCAGCAGAGAGCAGUGGGGUCAGACAGAAAAUACAUUUAAUAAGAAAAGAACUUCCUCUGGAGCAUACAGCAGCUGAUAAGUACUCGAAGGGUUAAGAUUUUUUAACAGAAGUCAUUUACAAAUCUGUUUAGUUUUCUGGCACCAGUUAAUAAUAAAAAAAAAAAGGUUUUCCAUUGGAGUACCCCUUUAAAUGUAUGUUAUAACACCGAUGGUAUUGAGUGUGACUGCAGGACCAGACUACACACAGAUUGUUUGUAGUCUGUUACCAUGGAAAUGAAAGGUGGGGUAUUUUCAGUCAUGACCAACAAAACAGGUUGAGAUUUUUGAUGAAGAGUCUGUGAUGCCCGUCUUGCCGCCAGAAAUACUGGAACUGGGGAAAAUGUGUCUAAUCACGGGGGUCUGACCACUGAGUAGUCCCCCUUGGUGAUAUCCUGUAUGGGGCCCAACAGCUCACCCCUCCUCGACGUCCUCCAACUUUCUGAGACGAGCGGGAGUGAUAGCCGCUAGACCAAUCAUUGGAUGAAACAGGGGUCCUGUCUCAGCUGGGGAUUGGCUGAGCAGGCCAUCACUCAUCUCUAAAAGGGUGUCGUCUGGGCCGUCCCAAGGACUGGUAAGGUCCCUUCCUGGAGAUGAAGGGGGAUCUCAACUGUCGGAUCGGACACACAUACUUUUUCCUGUGGAUAGUAGAGAAGUUGACUUCCCCGGAGUACCCUUUUAAUAAUUACCGUAUUUUUCGCCCUAUAGGACGCACCGGCGUAUAAGACGCACCCUAUUUUUACGUGCAAAAUGAAAAAAAUUUAAGAUUUUGAACCCAAUAGUGGUCCGCAGAUUGAAGACCACUGCAUAGGAGGUAAUACUCACGUGUCCCCGCCGCUCCGGACCCGUCACCGCUGCCCUGGAUGUCGCUCCAUCGCUGUCGCCGUGUCCCCGUCGCUCCGGAACGUUCUCUGCUGCCGGCCGGGUAUCCUCGCUCUCCGUCACCGCCAUCACGUCGUUACGCACGUACGCGACGACGUGAUGACGAGGAAGGAGAGCGCCGGCCUCCUAAACGGAGAAGACACCGAGGAGACAGGUAAGGUCCCUCCCGGUGUCCUGUAAGCACUAACCCGGCUAU